rnacentral:rRNA from 1 species
UACGUAGGGUGCGAGCGUUGUCCGGAAUUAUUGGGCGUAAAGGGCUCGUAGGCGGUCUGUUGCGUCAGGAGUGAAAACUCGGGGCUUAACCCCGAGCCUGCUUCUGAUACGGGCAGACUAGAGGUAUGCAGGGGAGAACGGAAUUCCUGGUGUAGCGGUGGAAUGCGCAAAUAUCAGGAGGAACACCGGUGGCGAAGGCGGUUCUCUGGGCAUUACCUGACGCUGAGGAGCGAAAGCAUGGGGAGCGAACAGG